UACGUGAGCUCCAAGCGUUAUCCGGAUUUAUUGGGCGUAAAGGGUCCGUAGGUGUUCCGACAGGUUUUCUGUUAAAUCUCUAGGGCUCAACCUUAGAGUUGCAGAAAAAACCGGCGGAAUUGAGAGCAUUAGGGGCUGGUGGAACAGUCGAAGUAGGGGUGAAAUCCGUUGAUAUCGACUGGAAUACCAAAAGCGAAAGCAUCCAGCUGGGAUGACUCUGACACUGAGGGACGAAAGCGUGGGGA
rnacentral:rRNA from 1 species